rnacentral:lncRNA from 1 species
CCGGAACUCGUGCUGGCCCGCAAGCGCCGCACGCAGCCCCGGUUCCCACCCGCGCCUCUACCUCCACACAUCCCGGCAAGCUGAGGGAGCCGGCUCCGUCCUUGGCCAGCCCACAAAGGGGCUCCCACAGUGCAGCGGCGGGCUGAAGGGCUGCCAAAGUGGGAGCCCAGGCAGAGGAGGCGCCGAGAGCGAGCGAGGGCUGCGAGGACUGCCAGCAUGCUGUCACCUGUCACGGGUGACUGGAAGGCAGCUGUAUUUAAAUUUCUAUAAAGAUCAGAUCCUCUAUGGACAUCUUUUACUGAGUAACAAAUCUGAAGAAAACAUGGUGAUAAGAAGAAAGAUGCUCCUCCCGCCCCACACAUGCCCAGAUAUCCAGCUUACAGCAAGCAAGGAAGUGGGAACCCCAGUUCCACAGUAACAAGGAAUUGAAUUCUGAACAACAACCUGAAUGAGCAGGGAAACACAUCCUCUCUUGGAACCUCCUGAGAAGAAACAGCCCUAUGGACACUUUGCCUUUAGCCAGAUGAGACCCAUGUCAGAAUUCUGACCUCUGAACUCUACAACAGCACAUUUGUGUGUGUGUUUUAUUUUUUUAACUACAAAGUGUGUGGUAAUUUGUUCCAGCAAUGAUAGAAAGUUAAUACAAACAGUCUGUUAAAUACUUGAUUUUAUGUCUGAGAAAUCUGAGCCUACAGAGAUUCAAUGGCUUACCCUAGCCAGGUAGUGACAGGGUUUCCAAAUUCUUGAUCUCUUCCCAAGAGUGCUUUCUUGUUUUGAAUCAUCCAAUCCAUUCUAAUCUAAGCAGUCUGGAUACAGUCAAGCCAGAUCAAAUCAUAUGCCUCUGUGCCUAUAAUUCAGGCAUGACUCCUUUCGUGCUUUAAAAUUCUCAUUCUAGUUUGGCGUCCGCACCUUCUCUUACUUCACCCAAUACCCAUCUCACCGCACUCCUUGCAGCAUGGUGCUGCUCCAUUUCAGGGUCAUGCCUUCUGCUCACCUUAUGGUAAUGCUUUCCUCUUGCUUGUCCUGAGGACAUAAGAGCUAUCACUCUCCAAGUUCUCAGCAUGGCUGCUGAAUUCUCAUAAUUCAAGUAUCAGUUUAAAUAUCAGUUCCAUAGAGAAACUGUCUAGACUUAGAUUCCUUAAAUCACCACUCAUCUCUGUCAUUUCAAGCUUUUCAAUCUAUGUUUGUUUCUCCUCUCCUUUAUUAUCUUCUUCUUCCUCUAGCAUCUGAUAACUAUGGUAUGGAGACUUUAUCUCAUAUGAAUCAGUAACAUUGGUAUAUAAGUGUCUGAUAAAAAUAUCUACUGUGAAAAUAUCUAGUAAAAUAAUUUCUGGCUCCUAGUUCAAGGCUGUUAGCUACUGAACUUUGCCAGUUACAUUAAUUGUGACUGGCAUUCACACCCCACAUUAUAAUGCCUGUUAUUAUUAAAGGAAUCUACUUGUGUUCAUUUAUUGACUUUAUAUUAAGUAAAAGUAAUAAAUAUAAACUUAUAAAAUGUACUGACACAAAGUACCAUUUUUAUCUGUUUCAAGUGUUAGAAAUUGACACACUUAUUUUUAUCAUUUUUAGCUCCUGCUAGAAUAAAACACGGUAUUUGUGGCUAUAAAUAUAGGAUAACUUACUAAAAGAAACAUGUUAGUAACAUUAUUCUGGCAUAUUCCAAAAUAUUCAGUGAAUAAGUAAAAGCUCAAAGACGAGCUGUCCAGACUGUACUAUGUUUAUUUAGACAGAAGUAAAAUACUGCCCAGGUCCAGAGAGAUCAAUGGGAAAGAAAAGAAGGAUGAUGGACCUUUAGUCAAAAGGGGAGAAGAACUACGGGUACAGAUUAUAAUAGGAUUCAUUACAGGUUAUAACAUCAGUGAAGAAGGGCAGUGACUCAGUUGUGUACAUGAAAAUAAAAUAAAUUGCUUGAUUAAUUCACAGUAGUUAUACAAAACUGACUUAUAUGAAGUAUUUAUGCUUUAGAAAGCUUCCUAUUACAAAUAUUCAAGUGAAUAAAAAUGAACUAAUGUAUCUCUAAAGUAAUUAUUGGGGAACUCAGACAAUUAUCUAAUUAUCUUGAAACAAAUUUGUUGAAUGUUUGAAAUUAUUAUAGUUUAAGUUGCAAAUUGCUCAGAAGUCUGUUAUUUUUAUUACUAUUACUGAGAUAUAACUUUAAACAAUGUUUUUUUUCUAAAAAGAGAGGGUAAUGUUACUGUGUUUCACUAGUUCCAUUGUAAAUAAAUGUUACUUUUUGACUAUCUCUUGCUUUAAAAGAUUCAUUUCUUUAAAAUUUUACAUCUAUAAUUUUACAACAAUUUUGUCUACUUGAAUAUUUCUAAUACUUAUGAUAAACAUUGUUUAGGUUAUUCAUAUAUAUCUUCAUAUCAUUCAUUCAAU